GGAGAAGUACUCAAGAGGCUAUAAGAGGAGCCCCUGCUAAGGGUUUAGGCUGGGUAACACCGGUGCGAGGGUUCGAAUCCCUCCUUCUCCG
rfam:Clostridium hiranonis DSM 13275 Scfld100 genomic scaffold, whole genome shotgun sequence.